UACGUAGGGGGCAAGCGUUGUCCGGAAUCAUUGGGCGUAAAGAGCGCGUAGGCGGUCCGAUAAGUCGGCUGUGAAAGUCAGGGGCUCAACCCUUGGAAGCCGGCCGAUACUGUCGGACUAGAGUCCGGAAGAGGCGAGUGGAAUUCCCGGUGUAGCGGUGAAAUGCGCAGAUAUCGGGAGGAACACCAAUGGCGAAGGCAGCACUCUGGGACGUGACUGACGCUGAGACGCGAAAGCGUGGGGAGCAAACAGG
rnacentral:rRNA from 1 species